rnacentral:lncRNA from 1 species
AGUUAGAGGCAGUCGGAGGUGCCGCAAGGAGUGCGGCAAUCUGAGUAGCGAAAGGAUUUUCAAUCAGAGUAAGCAUGUUUGCAACAUGCCUCUUAUUGCUUUUGAAUCAUGCGUGGCAUGCUCUUGAGUUAUUUGCCUUAUUCGUUGCCCCGUUUUCCUUCACCAAUAUAGCUGCUGUUGAGAGAAAGCAGAGGCUGGAGUUUGGUUUAUUGCGAUGUUGGCGAUGAAACAAACGUGAGCUUCGGGACAGCGUGCGGAGAAUCGGCAACAGAGAGAUUGUACUCCGUCAAGGUUCGCUGCUUUACACCAUUUCUCUUGAGCUCACGCCGUUAAAUACUCAUGGUGUUUUCUUUUUUUGAUGUAUCACAGCUUGUCGAAUCCCUGCCAAUUUCACCGAGCGCUGACAACGACGUGUGCUGUUCCGUAGUUCCGGCGAAAAGGAG